GUGACCUCCGCACGAGGAAGGCCGGGCAGGCAGCUGCCUCCCGGGAGCGCCCGGCCUCCGGCGCUCGCCGGGGGAGGGAGGAAGGAAGCGUUUUCGUAGUGUUUGCGCAGAGAACCCUCUCACCACUGCUGCUGCUGCUGCUAAGUCACUUCAGUCGUGUCCGACUCUGUGCGACCCCAUAGAUGGUAGCCCACCAGGCUCCCCCGUCCCUGGGAUUCUCCAGGCAAGAACACUGGAGUGGGUUGCCAUUUCCUUCUCCAGUGCAUGAAAGUGAGAAGUGAAAGUGAAGUCGCUCAGUCGUGUCCGACUCUUAGCGACCCCAUGGACUGCAGCCCACCAAGCUCCUCCAUCCACGGGAUUUUCCAGGCAAGAGUACUGGAGUAGGGUGCCAUUGCCUUCUCCGCUCACCACUGACUAUGGAAAUGAUAUUAGACAAAAAGGAAAUUGGAACGGUUUUCUUGAGUUCAAAAUGGAUCACAAAGCAGCAGAGACAACUUGCAGCAUCAACAACACAUUUGCCCCAGGAACUGCUAGUGAAUGUACAGUGCAGCAUGACUCAAGAAGUUUUGCAAAGGAGAUGAGAGUCUGGAAGGUGAGGAGCAUAGUGGCUGGUCACUGGAAGUUGAUAACAACCAAUUGAGAGCCAUUAUCAAAGCUGAUCCUCUUACAACUACAUGAGAAGUUGCCCAAGAACUCAAUGUCGACCAUUCUAUGGUUGUUUGGGAUUUGAAGCUAAUUGGAAAGGUGAAAAAGCUCAAUAAGUGGGAGCCUCAUGAGCCGACCACAAAGGAAAAAAAGGUCCUUUUCCAGAGUCAUCUUCUCAUAUUCUAUGCAACAACAAUAAACGAUUCCAUGCGACGAAACGUAGAUUUUAUAUGACAACUGUUGAUGACCAGCUCAGUGGUUGGACCAAAAGAAGCUCCAAACCACAUCUCAAAGUCAAACUUGUACCAAAAAAAAGGUCAUGGUUUGGUGGUCUGCUACCUGUCUGAUCCUCUACAGCUUCCUGAAUCCCAGGGAAACCAUUACAUCUGAGAAGUAUGCUCAGCAAAUCGAUGCACUGAUAAAUGUAAUAACAGCAACUGGUAUUGGACAACAGAAAGUGCCCAGUUCUUCUCCAAAACCACAACCGACCACACGGUGCACAACCAACGCUUUGAAAGUUGAAUGAACUGGGCUAUGAAGUUUUGCCUCAUUUGCCAUAGUCACCUGACCUCUCACCAACUGACUCACUUCUUCAAGCUUCUCGACAAGUUUUUUCACGGAAAAUGCUUCCACAACCAGCAGGAGGCAGAAAAUGCUUUCUAAGAGUUCAUCGAAUCCCGAAACACAGAUUUUUAUGCUACAGAAAUAAACUUAUUUCUCCUUGGCAAAAAUGUGAUGGUUGUAUUUUGAUUAAUUAAGAUGUGUUGAGCCUAGUUAUAAU